UUGACAUCCAGCGAACUUUCCAGAGAUGGAUUGGUGCCUUCGGGAACGCUGAGACAGGUGCUGCAUGGCUGUCGUCAGCUCGUGUUGUGAAAUGUUGGGUUAAGUCCCGNAACGAGCGCAACCCUUAUCCUUUGUUGCCAGCGAUUCGGUCGGGAACUCAAAGGAGACUGCCGGUGAUAAACCGGAGGAAGGUGGGGAUGACGUCAAGUCAUCAUGGCCCUUACGAGUAGGGCUACACACGUGCUACAAUGGCGCAUACAAAGAGAAGCGACCUCGCGAGAGCAAGCGGACCUCAUAAAGUGCGUCGUAGUCCGGAUCGGAGUCUGCAACUCGACUCCGUGAAGUCGGAAUCGCUAGUAAUCGUGGAUCAGAAUGCCACGGUGAAUACGUUCCCGGGCCUUGUACACACCGCCCGUCACACCAUGGGAGUGGGUUGCAAAAGAAGUAGGUAGCUUAACCCUCGGGAGGGCGCUUACCACUUUGUGAUUCAUGACUGGGGUGAAGUCGUAACAAGGUAGGCGUAGCGAG
rnacentral:rRNA from 1 species